AUCCCAUGCCUGCUAGUUACAAAUGCCGGCUACAGAUUGUGUAAUUCUGUCCCAUCUACUGCUCUCAUCGGGGGCUCAGAGCAGGAUCACGGCUCACUCUUACAAUUUAGAACUACCUUGAAUGGAAUUGCUUAGGAAAGAGGGAAAAGGCAUUUUUAGUCAAAAGCGAAGGAGGACAAAGUUAAACUCCACCAACAAUGGAAACUUCUUCCGGAUUCUUCCGGAGGCUGCCUGGUGCACUGGAAUGUGAUGCUUCCAGACUGCAGGAUUGCCCUCUUUACUGUCAGGUGGCUGUACAGCUGUGGAUUUUUGAGGACCGCACGAGGCUGCUGUGAGUUAAUAAUCCCAGAGAACCGCAGGCUCUCUUUUCCUCCAGGGGUGUGGCCCUUCGUUUACAGAAAGGAAGGCUGAAUCACAGAAUGGAAAACGGUGACACAUAGCCCAUCUCCAGCAGAGCGG